rnacentral:lncRNA from 1 species
UAUCAAUCCUAUACAUCUUAUAAAUAAUUUAAAAAGUUGGGACUAAUUGAAUAAAUUCAAAUUUACCAAGUGUUUAAAAGAGGACCGAUCGCUUUGGCGCUGUCGUGCUGAAUGACAGAAACCCCCGUUUCGGCGGGAAACUGACCACACGAUAGGUACGACACCUAUAUACAUCAUGACUACGUUCAACCGUAUGAAAUUAUAUUUCUCUUGUAACAACCUUCAUUCUGUAUCAAACUUCACUACAUAAUACUAGUCUCGUGUACGUC